UCCGGUUGAUCCCGCCGGACCUGACUGCUAUCGGAUUGAUACUAAGCCAUGCGAGUCAUUGUAGCAAUACAAGGCAUACGGCUCAGUAACGCGUAGUCAACCUAACCUAUGGACGGGAAUAACCUCGGGAAACUGAGAAUAAUGCCCGAUAGAACACUAUACCUGGAAUGGUUUGUGUUCCAAAUGAUUUAUCGCCAUAGGAUGGGACUGCGGCCUAUCAGUUUGUUGGUGAGGUAAUGGCCCACCAAGACUAUUACAGGUACGGGCUCUGAGAGGAGUAGCCCGGAGAUGGGUACUGAGACACGGACCCAGGCCCUAUGGGGCGCAGCAGGCGAGAAAACUUUGCAAUGUGCGAAAGCACGACAAGGUUAAUCCGAGUGAUUUGUGCUAAACGAAUCUUUUGUUAGUCCUAGAAACACUAACGAAUAAGGGGUGGGCAAGUUCUGGUGUCAGCCGCCGCGGUAAAACCAGCACCUCAAGUGGUCAGGAUGAUUAUUGGGCCUAAAGCAUCCGUAGCCGGCUCUGUAAGUUUUCGGUUAAAUCUGUACGCUUAACGUACAGGCUGCCGGGAAUACUGCAAAGCUAGGGAGUGGGAGAGGUAGACGGUACUCGGUAGGAAGUGGUAAAAUGCUUUGAUCUAUCGAUGACCACCUGUGGCGAAGGCGGUCUACCAGAACACGUCCGACGGUGAGGGAUGAAAGCUGGGGGAGCAAACCGGAUUAGAUACCCGGGUAGUCCCAGCUGUAAACUAUGCAAACUCAGUGAUGCAUUGGCUUGUGGCCAAUGCAGUGCUGCAGGGAAGCCGUUAAGUUUGCCGCCUGGGAAGUACGUACGCAAGUAUGAAACUUAAAGGAAUUGGCGGGGGAGCACCACAAGGGGUGAAGCCUGCGGUUCAAUUGGAGUCAACGCCGGA
rnacentral:rRNA from 1 species